GCCGGCUUCGGCAACGGUUUUCUCCACUCGUGUCUCUCUCUCUCUUGCUCGAUACAAAGAGGCACACACAAACAGAAUCUCUACCUUUCUUCCUUUCACUGGAAUCAGAAUCUCCCCGACAGAAGCAGUAUCACCCAAACCACACUUCCAAAACCGAAACCCUAAUUUGCACAAUGCGUGUGGUUCUGCAACAAGAAUCUCUUCCUUCUAUAAUAAACUCCUUCCCACGCUUCUUCACGCUCUAGUUCCAUCCAUCCGCCAUGGCCACCGAGCACGAAAAGCAGUUAAUUGUGGCCAAACCGAACCCUAACACCAAAAGCCCUCGCCGAUCCUCCACCUCCUCCUCGCUCGCCAUCAUCGACGGCAUUUUCGCGAGAAAAAGCUUCUUCUACGACAGGCUUCCCUCCCAACCACUCAGACUCACCGUUCUCAAACUCGACGGUUCCUGCUUCCAUAUUCAAGUUUCGAAGACCGCCACCGUUGCGGAACUGAAGGACGCAGUGGAGGCCGUGUUCAGUCACGUGCCUCACAAGGGGCCUGCCAAAAUUUCAUGGGCACAUGUCUGGGGGCAGUUUUGCUUAUGCUAUGAUGGACAGAAGCUAGUUACAGAAAAGGAUAAUCUUCGAAAUUAUGGUAUCAAGGAUGGUGACCAGCUUCGUUUCAUCCGCCAUGUUACAAACAAUUGCUGUGUUCAAAGAAAGCGGUUGAAGAAAAGAGUUGUCUAUUUGAAACAACACAGGAGGUGCAGGUCAUCGCAAGUGGAUGGCUAUCAACCCAAAGGAAAUUGUGAUGAUGAUGAGAUUGGUUCUGAUGAUGAAGCCACAGAUAAUGGGAAGAUCAAGCACCAUAUUGAAGAAGAGGAAGAAGAAGAAAGAGAAGAAGAGUGUGUUGGAAAGAACAAAUUAGCUGGCUUUUUGGGAGAGCUGUUUUCAUACACUCCACUGGCAGUUGUGAGAAGAACUAGAACUAAAAGCAAGAUUUGGCCAACAACUAUGCCCAAAUGUUUACUUGGUAGUUUUAGAAAGAUUAGAAGUAUUGUAUGCUUUGGCAGGAAGAGGCACUAUUCUCGGAGACUUCCAUGGAGACCGCAUUAACAAAUGGUGUUUUCUAACCGCACAACAUAUCCAAUGAUGGCAGCAGAUGAAAAAGCCGAGGUGUGAAAAUUUUGGUUCCUAUGCAAAUGAUGUGCGUGUGAAAACUGUAUUGCUGUUUUGACUGAGAUGGCAGCAAGAUGUAGAUCAUCUUUUUAAUGGUUCUAUUGUAUAAACAAACGGUUUGGAGUUGGAGUUUCCAAUGUGCGUCCGUUGGUUCUUAGGAUUAGAAACAUCAAUGUCUUCAGCAAUGAUAUUUUUAGCAAAAUAUCAAGUUAAGGUAUUUGUUGUCACGAAAAAAGAGAGUUUACUUCUGAACUUCAAUAAUUGUUGGUUAAUUUGAUCCUUAAAUCUAGACAUCGGAUCACACAUCCUCCCUCACUUAUGGGUGGUAAUUAAAUUUAGACCCAUUAAGUGACAAGAUUUGUUUGUUAUAAA